rnacentral:lncRNA from 1 species
UCCAGAAUUUUACUUCUUAAAAAUUUUUAAAAAAUUUGCGGACUUAUUUUAUUAAAUCAUAAUUGGAUUUUUAACAUGUUUUCUAUAUAUAAAUAUUUAUAUUUUUAUCGCCAAACAAUUAAACACUUCUUCUAACACAUGUAAUAAAACAACAAAUAAAUGAAAUAAUAAAUAAACUAAAUAAAAAAGGAAAUAAAAAUACAAAAAACUGGUUUGAAACCCAAUUGAAAAGGAGUUUAGGCCUGGCGUCGGGCUUCAAUUGGUUUCCGUGUAGGCCAGAAUAAGACUUAAUCCGAAACAGAAAAUAAAGUAAAAAAACGGAUCGGGUUGUUACUGAGUCCAGUUUUCAUGUGGAUCUUUCAUUGGAUACGCACCUUUUAAAACGGUGUCGUAGUACUUUGGAAAUCGGCAUCUUUCCUUCAUUUGGUUCUUUUUCUUUCUCUCACUAAAGUCCCAACUUCUCUACUGUCGGAAAACUCGUGCUUUUACAAAAACAGACAGCUUUCCGCCUUUGCCGUAGCAACCAAAACCUUUGAGCUGCAGCCCACCGGCGUCACAACGUCAUGGAAAUGAACGAUAAUCUUGUCCUCAACCUCCUAAACACUUCUCCAGGACCAGAUUUCUCUAAAAGACUUUGCAUUUUCCUAGAUCUACAGCCUAAAACCAAAACUGCCUCAGCACAAACCGUCGCCAUUUACCACAAAAAAAAAAAAAAAACGCCUUUAUUUCCUUCAUAUUCUUUUUUUUCAACCGACCCUCAACUUAGAAACCCGAAAAAAUCCUAAGCUACCAACUCCACAAAGCCAAAAAAAUCACUUUUUUUUUUGUUGAUGUAUUUUUUCUGUCACUGGAUUGUUGAUUGUUGCUGAUGACUACUUUCUCUUGUGUUGCCUUUUGUGGUUGAAUUCUGUGUUCUUGUGUCUCUAGGCUUGGGUUUGCUAGAAAUUGGAUUUGUGUAUGCUCUGAUUUUUUAAUGUAUUUUUCUUUAUUUGCUGCUUGUUUCUGGGUUUAUUGCCUUUUCGGCUAUUCUUCUGUUUUUGCUGUGAGGCUGUUGAUUGCUUUUGAUUAUUUUUGCUUCUGCCAAUUGCCUGAUGAUUCCCUUGGAUUGUCGAUUGAGAUUGUUUAUAUAGAGGGCUUUCCUUGCAAAAUAAUUUAGAAUCAAAUUAAAGAUUUAAGGAAUCGAAUCAGCUAAGUUAGAUCCUAUUCUUACCCCUUUUUGGGAUUUUCUUGAUCCUCAAUUUUUUUGCUUUUCAAACCUUCCAAAAAUUUCCAAAUUUAAUUUAACUUGAUUUUUCUCUGUUUUUCCUUUUUUUUUUCUUUUUUCUUUUUAUUUUUUCAAAGUACCAAUAAAAAAAAUUAAAAUGAAAGGCAAAGAAAAUUAAGAAGUUUGGUCUUCAUUUACUUGGGCUCAAUGCCCAAACAUAAAUUAAAAAAACCAAAGUAAAACCCAAUUAAGAAUUAAAUGGUGUGAAGAUGAAUUUCUAAACCAAAAAGUAAUCCAUUUCGAAAGUAAGCCACAAGGUUCAAUAACAAAUCAAAAAUUUAGGGCUGGCAAUAGAUACCCUAUAAGUGGGUACCUGGAAGUACUCGACCCGAUAUUAAGUAGGAUUUGAUUUAAAAAUAAGUUGUUAUUAAUAUAAUAUUUAAUUAAAUUAAUGCAUUAAAUAUUUAAUUAUAAUUUUUAACUUUG